rnacentral:rRNA from 1 species
CAGCAGCCACGGUAAUACAGAGGGUGCAAGCGUUAAUCGGAAUUACUGGGCGUAAAGCGCGCGUAGGUGGUUUGUUAAGUUGGAUGUGAAAGCCCCGGGCUCAACCUGGGAACUGCAUCCAAAACUGGCAAGCUAGAGUACGGUAGAGGGUGGUGGAAUUUCCUGUGUAGCGGUGAAAUGCGUAGAUAUAGGAAGGAACACCAGUGGCGAAGGCGACCACCUGGACUGAUACUGACACUGAGGUGCGAAAGCGUGGGGAGCAAACAGGAUUAGAUACACCCGUAGUCCCUGUCUCUUAUAA